rnacentral:rRNA from 1 species
CUGUUUGAUCCUGGCUCAGGACGAACGCUGGCGGCGUGCUUAACACAUGCAAGUCGAACGGAAAGGCCCUGCUUUUGUGGGGUGCUCGAGUGGCGAACGGGUGAGUAACACGUGAGUAACCUGCCCUUGACUUUGGGAUAACUUCAGGAAACUGGGGCUAAUACCGGAUAGGAGCUCCUGCUGCAUGGUGGGGGUUGGAAAGUUUCGGCGGUUGGGGAUGGACUCGCGGCUUAUCAGCUUGUUGGUGGGGUAGUGGCUUACCAAGGCUUUGACGGGUAGCCGGCCUGAGAGGGUGACCGGCCACAUUGGGACUGAGAUACGGCCCAGACUCCUACGGGAGGCAGCAGUGGGAAUAUUGCACAAUGGGCGGAAGCCUGAUGCAGCAACGCCGCGUGCGGGAUGACGGCCUUCGGGUUGUAAACCGCUUUCGCCUGUGACGAAGCGUGAGUGACGGUAAUGGGUAAAGAAGCACCGGCUAACUACGUGCCAGCAGCCGCGGUGAUACGUAGGGUGCGAGCGUUGUCCGGAUUUAUUGGGCGUAAAGGGCUCGUAGGUGGUUGAUCGCGUCGGAAGUGUAAUCUUGGGGCUUAACCCUGAGCGUGCUUUCGAUACGGGUUGACUUGAGGAAGGUAGGGGAGAAUGGAAUUCCUGGUGGAGCGGUGGAAUGCGCAGAUAUCAGGAGGAACACCAGUGGCGAAGGCGGUUCUCUGGGCCUUUCCUGACGCUGAGGAGCGAAAGCGUGGGGAGCGAACAGGCUUAGAUACCCUGGUAGUCCACGCUGUAAACGGUGGGUACUAGGUGUGGGGUCCAUUCCACGGGUUCCGUGCCGUAGCUAACGCUUUAAGUACCCCGCCUGGGGAGUACGGCCGCAAGGCUAAAACUCAAAGGAAUUGACGGGGCCCCGCACAAGCGGCGGAGCAUGCGGAUUAAUUCGAUGCAACGCGUAGAACCUUACCUGGGUUUGACAUGGAUCGGGAGUGCUCAGAGAUGGGUGUGCCUCUUUUGGGGUCGGUUCACAGGUGGUGCAUGGCUGUCGUCAGCUCGUGUCGUGAGAUGUUGGGUUAAGUCCCGCAACGAGCGCAACCCUUGUUCACUGUUGCCAGCACGUUAUGGUGGGGACUCAGUGGAGACCGCCGGGGUCAACUCGGAGGAAGGUGGGGAUGACGUCAAGUCAUCAUGCCCCUUAUGUCCAGGGCUUCACGCAUGCUACAAUGGCUGGUACAGAGAGUGGCGAGCCUGUGAGGGUGAGCGAAUCUCGGAAAGCCGGUCUCAGUUCGGAUUGGGGUCUGCAACUCGACCUCAUGAAGUCGGAGUCGCUAGUAAUCGCAGAUCAGCAACGCUGCGGUGAAUACGUUCCCGGGGCUUGUACACACCGCCCGUCAAGUCAUGAAAGUUGGUAACACCCGAAGCCGGUGGCCUAACCGUUGUGGGGGAGCCGUCGAAGGUGGGACUGGUAGAUCGGAAGAGCGUCGUGUAGGGAAAGAGU